GUGCCAGCAGCUGCGGUAAUACGUAGGUGGCGAGCGUUAUCCGGAAUUAUUGGGCGUAAAGGGAGCGUAGGCGGUUUAUUAAGUCUAAGGUGAAAGUUCGGGGCUCAACCCCGUGAUGCCUUAGAAACUGGUAGACUUGAGUACAGGAGAGGUGAGUGGAAUUCCAUGUGUAGCGGUAAAAUGCGUAGAUAUAUGGAGGAACACCAGUGGCGAAGGCGGCUCACUGGCCUGUAACUGACGCUGAGGCUCGAAAGCGUGGGGAGCAAAUAGGAUUAGAUACCCUAGUAGUCCACGCCGUAAACGAUGGAUACUAAGUGUUGGGCGGAAGUUCAGUGCUGCAGUUAACGCAAUAAGUAUCCCGCCUGGGGAGUAUGCGCGCAAGCGUAAAACUCAAAGGAAUUGACGGGGGCCCGCACAAGCGGUGGAGUAUGUGGUUUAAUUCGAAGCAACGCGAAGAACCUUACCAGGUCUUGACAUACCACGCAAAAGCACAGAGAUGUAGUAAUAGUUAUGGUGAUACAGGUGGUGCUAG
rnacentral:rRNA from 1 species